GGGUUGCAGUUAUAUAAUAAAGACCAUACCAUAAUGGUAUUUUCUAAACUCGGUUCAUAAAGUAAAUAAUUGCAAAUUUAAUAACUCUCAUACAUAACAAUAUCUAAUACAAAUUUAAGAAGAAAAACCCAUGUAUACGCAAAGCUCUGAUAAAAACAAACAAAAAAAACACCAGAUAUUUGAGCUUCAGUAUUUGCCUGAGUGCAAUCGUGUGAGUGCGCGCGCGCGCGUGCGUGCACCCCCGCGCCAUUUUCUAGGUCAUGACGAAGUGUUAUUUGAUUACAUACUUCAAAAUAUCUACGACAAAAUUUGUAUUAUACACAUUAUCGUAACCAAACGCAACAGUGAAUAUUGUACUCUAAAUAUUACUAAAACCACCAUAAAAUCUCUAAUACCCAUGUGAAAACAUGUUUUUAUUUUCUUAUUUUGUGAUACUGAGAUAUGUGAAGUUUCUUAACAUGGUGAAUUUUGCAGAGAGACGCUUGUAAUCAUCCAAUGGGCGAAGCGUGAACAGUUAAGCCCUACAUAUAGCCCCCAUUCUGCACACAGAGCACCCAUUGUGACAUCCCCGUCGGUAUUCUUCAUUUGGAUACUGCUAGAUGAUAAGAGGAAUCACGUCAUAUCAUCUGACCGAGUGAACUAUAGCGCUGGCGCCGCUCUGCUUUUUAGUGCUGCGGAAAUGGAUAUCUGGUGGUGUCUGCAAAAGUGGUGUUCAUCUGGAUGGAAAGAUAGUUGUGAUCACUGGUGCCAAUACUAGGAUUGGCAGGGAAACAGCAAGAGAUAUGGCUCACAGAGUGGCUCGGGUUGUGAUGGCCUGCCAGGAUCUGACUCGUGUUGAGAACGCUGCAGACUAUUUGACGCUCCACAGGAAAUGGCAGUGUAAUCAUCUGACACUUGAAUCUGGCUUCUCUUUACUCUGUCCGAGAAUCUGCAAAAGAGUUCAUUGCCACAGAAGAACGACUAGACAUACUCAUCAACAAUGCAGGUGUGAUGAUGUGCCCCAAGUGGACCAUAGAGUAUGGCUUUGAGACACAGCUGGCUGUCAAUCACUUGGAAGAUUUUAUUAUGACCAAUUUACUUUAGGGGUGCUUAAGAAAUCCUCUCCCAGUCGUGCCCAGCAUUGCUCAUGUUAGCAGUAAUCUCCUUUUGAUUAAAAAUAAGCAUGCCCAAAAUACAAAAAAAAGAAAAAGAAAAUACAAACCAGAAUGAAUGAAUAUGUUGGGUAUAUUUGUGUAAUAAAAUGAAAAGACAGUAAAUGCCUAAGAACACUUGUAAUCACCCUUUGUAUAUAUCUAUAGUUUGUUAAUGUUUUUCUGCAGGAAAGACUGAAUUUGAUGACCUGCUUUUUGACAAAAUACCUUUCAGCCCUUUGAUCAGCUAUAGACAGAGUAAACUGUCCAAUGUGCUUUUCUCCAGAGAACUUGCACGAAGAAUGAAAGGUACUGGAGUCUCCUCGUACUACUUGCAUCCAGGAGUGAUUCGAACAGAGCCGAGUUGCCAUAUUGAAUCGUAAUACCCUAUGCUGAAGACUUUAUUGUCUCUACCCUGCAAGCUGCUGAUGAAAACUCCCUGGCAGGGUGCUCAGACCUCCAUCUAUUGUGCUGUCACAGAGGGCUUAGAGAGGAAGUCUGGCUGCUACUUCAUGUAAACAUACUACUAUCAGGUGAUUGUGCUGAAAAAGCCCCUGCUCCAGAAGGUAAAGAUGAUGCAGUGGCAAGAAGGUUGUGGGAGACAAGUGCUCUGCUGGACUGAAUGACCGAAGGUGAUGCAUCGUAAGGCACACAUACUGGAUCACACUUCCUGGUUGCAGGGACACCCUCUAUUGGUGAUAGCUGCAAACCAACCUCUCACGAGAUGGCAGAACCGCAGAGAGGAAGUCAUGGCAGAGCUGAUGUCAGGUCAAACUAUAUGAAAUAUAACGGGGCAAACUAUAUAAUAUGAUUUGACACAUUUCUGUUGCUCAACUGGUAGAGCAUGGUGCUAGCAAUGCCAAGAUCAUGGGUUAGUUUCAAAGGGAACACACAAACUGAUAGAAAUGUAUACCCUGAAUGCACUGUGAGUUGCUUUGGAUAAAAGCCAAUCGCAUAAAUGUAAUGUAAAUGUAAAUUUGUCUUCAGGAGAUGGCUUUCUAACACUUUUUAUUUUUGGAAAUAUAUUUUCAAGAAUAAACCUCAGGGAACUUUUAAAGGGAAAUUUUAAAGAGGACAGAGCAGAGGGAAAGAGUUUUGCGUUUGUUAAAGGUGAAGUGUGUCAUUUUUUCAGUGUUAAAAUACUUUCUCCUGUUCCAGUUUAAUGUGCAAUGACAGCUAUAAGUAAACCAUCAUAGGUUGAUUUCUCCAAAAAGUCUUAAUUCUGUGGCUCUGUGGUGCUAUCAACACAUUGCUGUUUGUUUGAGUAUCCCAACCAGCCCAACAGCAACAAUAGCUCAACCAAUGAAAUUGGAGUUUGGAGUGGGACUAUUUCUUAUUACACAUAUACAGCUUUAACCAUCCAACAACAUCGUAUUCUUGAGCUUUUCUGGAUCCUUUGUUGUCAGAGGUCAUUUCCUGAGAACAUGAAAAUACCCAGCACAUUCUAGCACAUUAACUUUUUGAUGGUACCACAACAGUACAAACUCCCAUAAAAAUCGUUGAAGAAAAUGUAGGAGAGCUAGAUUGUGCUGAAUAUGUUUAUGCCUAUUUAUAUUACUUUUAACCACUAGAUGGCAUUAAAAAUGUGUUUUGGGAAACAUAUAGUAUGAUAUGCAUUUGAAGAUACCAUUACGUAAAUUAUGAUUCAACAAGGCAGCAUUACAAUUCAGUUUACAAACUAGUGGAAAAUAUGUGAUGGAAAAAAGCAGACCCUGAAUCACGAUGACCAUGUGAUAUGGUUGUAAGUUAAAGAUGCAAUUAUGUAAGAAGGACAUUACAAUCAAUGUGUAAAACAGACAAACUUGCUAAAAAAAUGCAUUAAGUAAGACUAUAUCUAGUAGUGUCACAAAUAGUUAUUUUUCCAUUAAAUGGCAAUAUUUACCCAGUGGAGCUGAUUUGUAAGGGUAGUUUUAUCUUUAUAAGAGUGUAGUUUUUGUAAUUACAGUAAUAGUUACUCUGUGUCAUGUACCAGUACUCUUGUGUUAAAUACUUAAUUGUAAGCAAUUUACUAACAUAUAUUUUAAAUUACAAUAUUUAUGUUGAGAAUUUAUUUCCUAUUACCUGUCAAAAAUCUAUAUAUAUAUAUAUUGCCUUCACAUUCAGAAUCUGUGCUCGGUGGCCCCAUUACAUUUGGGCUCUGAUGUCUAAAAUGUAUUGUAUUUUUAUUUUUAGAAUUGUCUCCUCUCUGCUAUUUCUUUUAUUUAAAUUAAGCCUCCCAUAUUUCCUUUAGGGUUGUUCAUAAGUUAGAAUUGUAUUUAUUAUUAAUUAAUUUACAAUUUCACUUCUAACAUAUUUUAGAGAUGCUCAAUAUUGAUUGUUUUUUGAAUCCACAUUCAAUGUCAUUACAUUGUAAUUACUUUUUAAUAUGCGAUUAUAACACUAGUCCCCAUGCUUCUUAUAGGGCUAUUGGGCUUUGUAAAUCCUUAUGUGUGAAAAAUAAAUGCGACUG